rnacentral:rRNA from 1 species
GACGAACGCUGGCGGCGUGCUUAACACAUGCAAGUCGAACGGAAAGGCCAUGCUUUUGUGGGGUGCUCGAGUGGCGAACGGGUGAGUAACACGUGAGUAACCUGCCCUUGACUUUGGGAUAACUUCAGGAAACUGGGGCUAAUACCGGAUAGGAGCUCCUGCUGCAUGGUGGGGGUUGGAAAGUUUCGGCGGUUGGGGAUGGACUCGCGGCUUAUCAGCUUGUUGGUGGGGUAGUGGCUUACCAAGGCUUUGACGGGUAGCCGGCCUGAGCGGGUGACCGGCCACAUUGGGACUGAGAUACGGCCCAGACUCCUACGGGAGGCAGCAGUGGGGAAUAUUGCACAAUGGGCGGAAGCCUGAUGCAGCAACGCCGCGUGCGGGAUGACGGCCUUCGGGUUGUAAACCGCUUUCGCCUGUGACGAAGCGUGAGUGACGGUAAUGGGUAAAGAAGCACCGGCUAACUACGUG